UACGGAGGGUGCAAGCGUUAUCCGGAUUUACUGGGUUUAAAGGGUGCGUAGGUGGGUUGGGAAGUCAGUGGUGAAAUACUUUCGCUUAACGAAGGAACUGCCAUUGAUACUAUCAAUCUUGAAUGUAGUGGAGGUAAGCGGAAUGCGUCAUGUAGCGGUGAAAUGCUUAGAUAUGACGCAGAACACCAAUUGCGAAGGCAGCUUGCUACACUACUAUUGACACUGAGGCACGAAAGCGUGGGGAUCAAACAGG
rnacentral:rRNA from 1 species